rnacentral:misc_RNA from 1 species
UUAACUAUUACAUAGUACUCAGACAUCACUAAAACAAGAGUUGUGGUCCUCUGGCGGGCACGCAGCAGCCGGAGCCGCUGGCCCAAGGGCGUCCCGCCAAAGCAACAAAGGUAGUUAUUCAAGGGUGACUAGUGAGCUUACACUACGGCGGUUGCCCACCGUAGAAGACUAGUUUGGUAAUGAUCCUUCCGCAGGUUCACCUACGGAAA